AGUUGCGCGCCGAGAGCUCUGCUGGGGGCUGAUGGUUGUGCGUUCUUCCGGGCCGGCCUUGACUGUCUUCGAAAAAACCUCGUCGGGGCAAUAGUUAAGUGGAAAGAUUAAAAUCGUUUUUAGACCGGGCGCGUUGACUCAGGCCUGUAGUCCAGCACUGGGAGGCCAAGGCGGGAGGAUCGCUUGAGCCUGGGAGGUCGAGGUUGCAGUGAGCGGAGAUCAUGCCCCUGCUCUCUAGCCUGUGCGAGAGAGCAAGACCCUGUCUCAAAACAAACCCACAGUUUGUUUUUGUUUUGAGACGGAAUGGCGCGACGUCGGCUCACUGCAACCUGCUUCCCCCGGGUUCAAGCGAUUCUCCUGCCUAAGCCUCCUGAGUAGCUGGGAUUACAGGCGCGCGCCACCACGCCCUGCUGAUUUUUGUAUUUUUAGUAGAGACAGGUUUCACCAUGUUGGCCAGGUUGGUCUCAAACUCCUGACCUCAGGUGAUUCGCCCGCCUCGGCCUCCCGAAGUGCUGGGAUUACAGGCGUGAGCCACCGCACCCAGCCCAAACCCACAGUUUUAAUCAUGCUUUUGCUUGGCAAGCCGAUUUCUCUAAGCCAGAGUGAGCCGCAAGGAGAGCCCACGGAAAACUUCUGUGACCAAGCGUAUGGGGGGCUUUCCCCAUACACCAAGAAAGCAGUUCGACACUAUCCACCUGGAAGUCACGUCAGAUCCUACAGAACUUGUCAACAACUCAGUCCCACAAAAGUGCCCCUGACUUGAGACAUCAAUUGCAAGUCCGAGCUUCUGGAACUUCCCACCAACCAGCUAUUAAUUGGCAUUCCCAUGAAGCUCCUUUUGGGUUCAGGGCAGCAGGCAAGAAGAACCCAUCAGGCUGUGAUACCUGUGCCACUUGCUCAUGAAGGGCCACCAGCUGCUGGAGCCGUACCUGAUGGUGAGUGUGAACGAGGUGCACGUGGGCCAGACCAGCACCAAUGGAGGACCACCAAACCCAUGUACAAUGAGGAGCUCUAGACUAACGCCACUGAUGGCGGCCGUCAUCCAUAAGAUGCCCCUGGGCUAUGACCACUUCAUGUAAACGUGUAUGCUGUAAUUAAUUCUUUCUUUCUUUCUCUCUCUCUUUCUUUUUCUUUCUUUCCUUUCCCUCCCUCCCUCUCUCUCUCUUUCUUUCUUUUCUUUCUUGAGAUGGAGUCUCACUCUGUCUCCCAGGCUGGAGUGCAGUGGUGCCAUCUCGGCUUACUGCAACCUCCACCUCCCAGGUUCAAGUGAUUCUCCAGCCUCAGCCUCCCGAGUAGUUGGGACUACAGCCACCACAUCUGGCUAAUUUUUUGGUUUUUUUUUUGUAUUUUUAGUAGAGAUGGGGUUUCACCGUAUUGGGCAGGCUGGUCUCGAACUCCUGACCUCAGGUGAUCCACCUGCCUCAGCCUCCCAAAGGGCUGGGAUUACAGGUGUGAGCCACCAUGCCUGGCCACAUGUACCCUGUAAUUGUAUCACUGGUAAACUGAGUUCUUUCCCUACUUUGUAUCGGUUGCAAAGAAAAAACAACCAAUUGGAAAAACAAAAGGCAAGCAGGUUUUAUCUCUGGCCAACAAUAGAGAGCUCUUGCUCUAAAGCAAUGUUCCCCAACCUUUUUGGCAGCAGGAACCAGUUUCAUGGAAGACAAUUUUUCCACAGACCAGGGUGGGGGGAUGGUUUUGGGAUGACUUAAGUGCAUUACAUUUAUCGUGUACUUUAUUGCUAUUAUUAUUACAUUGUAAUAUAUAAUGAAAUAAUUAUACAACUCUCCAUAAUGUAGAAUCAGUGGGAGCCCUAAGCUUGUUUUCCUGCAACUAAACGGUCCCAUCCAUGGGUGAUGGGAGACAGUGACAGAUCAUCAGGCAUUAAAUUCUCAUAAGGAGCAUGCAGCCUAGAUCCCUCACAUGCAUAGUUCACAAUAGGGUCCACACUCCUAGGACAAUCUAAUGCCACUGCUGAUCUGACAGGAGGUGGAGCUCAGGUAGUAAUGCCAGCAAUGGGGAGUAGCUGUAAAUACAGGUGAAGCUUCACUCGCUUGCUUGCCCACCUGCUACUCACCUCCUGCUGUGCAACUUGGUUCCUAACAGGCCACAGGCCAGUACCAGUGAAUGGCCCAGGGGUUGGGGACCCCUGCUCUAAAGACCCCUUCUCCCAGAGCCAUAGGAAGCUGGGGAAUUUUAUGGAGUUAGAUGAGGGAAGGGGAGGUAUGUAAAUAUGUGCUGGGAGCCCAAGAUCAUAAACAUGCAUCUUCAUACUAUGCAUGUUCAGAAAAUGGUGGGCAUUUUCUUCUAUGGGUGGGAUUUUGAUAUUGUAAUGAUAUCUUAAUGAUCUAAAGGUAACAAGGAGCUUCCGGUUCUGGUUGGCACCAGUUUUGCACCAGCCUUAUCUUCCUCUGGUAAUUGACGAAGGGUUCUGAAGCUCCUGUGGCUUCUCAGGUCAUCUGGUGUUCUUUUAAGCAAGGUACCUAUAGAUAAAAAGACUAGAAAAACACUGUUUAAGAAAAAAUAAUGAGCUUUCACAGCUGUUUAUGGUUUAAGAAAAUAGGCUGGGUGCGGUAGCUCACGCCUGUAAUCCCAGCACUUUGGGAGGCCAAGGUGGGCAGAUAACUGGAGGCCAGGAGUUCGAAACCAGCCUGGCCAAUGUGGUGAGACCCUCCCCAUCUCUACUAAAAAUACAAAAAAAAAUUAGCCAGGGGUGGUGGCUGGCACCUGUAAUCCCAGCUACUCCGGAGGCUGAGGCACAAGACUCUCUUGAACCAGGGAGGUGGAGGUCACAGUGAGCCGAGAUCGCACCACUGCACGCCUGGGCGACUGAGGGAGACUCUGUCUCAAAAAAAAAAAAGAAAGAAAAUAGUGAGCUUUCCCAGCUAUAUUUCUAGGGCUGCCCUGGUAACAACUCCAGUGUGGACUAAAAGGAAGAAGCUGAGGCAAAAUUAAUAUAACUAGAGAAUUUAUUUGGGCCAAGCUUGAGGAUUGCAAUACAGGAGCAUAGAUUCAAAAGAUUGCUCUGAGCUAUUUUUUUGUUUUUUUUUUUCACUGGGAGUGGCUGUGCACUGCCGGCAUGGCCAACACCUUGAGCACCUUCCAAGGCUAGGUGAAUCUGCAGCCAGAGAGGAAAGCAUUUGUGGUAAUAACCCUAAUAGUGCAAGACAUGGUGGGUCAAGCCUGUUAUCCCAGGUACUUAGGAGGCUGAGGUGAGAGGAUUAUCUGCGACUAGGAGUUCAAGACCAGCCUGAGCAAUAUGGUGAGAUCCUGUCUCUAAAAUAAAAAUUAGCCAGGAGUGGGGGUGCAGUCCUGUGGUUCCAGCUAUUUGGAAGGCUGAGGUGGAGGAUUUCUUGAGCCAGGAGUUCAAGGCUGCAGUAAGCUAUGAUCGUACCACUGCACUCCAGCUCAAGUGACAGAACGAGACCAUGUCUCCAAACCCAACCCCUCCCCACCAAUAAAACAGAUCAAUGGAAACAAGAUUAUUCUCACAUACCUGAGGCAGCCCACCUACUGCUCUUACUGCAGGAAGUUUAUCUGGGGAGUAUUUGGGAAACAGGGUUAUCAAUGCCAAGUGUGCACAUGUGUUACCCAUAAACACUGCCAUCAUCUAACCAUUACAGCCUGUAUUUGCCAAAACAAUAUUAACCAAGAAGAUUCAAAGAUUGCCAAACAGAGGUUCAGAAUCAACAUCUCACACAACUUCAGCAUCCACAACUACAAAUCACUACCGCUUUGCAAUCACUGUGGCGCCUUGCUUUGGGGGAUAAUGGGUCUUCAUUUCUGAAGGCUCUAGUGUCAGGUAAAACUUUGAUGAAAUAAAUUUGUUAUAAUUUUCUUUUGGUUUUGUUUUCUUUUUUGAGACAGGGUCUCUCUCUGUCACCCAGGCUAGAGUGCAGUGGCAUGAUCACAGUUCACUGCAGCCCCGACCUCUUGGGCUCAAGGGAUCCUCCUGGCUCCUGUUUCCUGAGUAGCUGGGUCUACGGGUACACACCACCACACCCAGCUAAUUUUGUUUAUUUUUUGUAGAGACAGGGUCUUGCUAUGUUGUCUAGGCUGGUCCUGAACUCCUGGGCUCAAGCAAUCUUCCUGCCUUGGCCUCCUGAAGUGCUAGCAUUAUAGGCAUGAGCCACUGCACCUGGUUCUUUUCUCUCUUGUUAAUCUGUCAUUUGCUAUAGGAGUGGUGGCUGUUCCUUACGAUGGAUGAGGAAAGGUAUCACACUUUUCUGCCACUACACUGCCUUUGAGAAUUUGUAGUUUACCCUUCUCUGAGUUCCCUUGGAUUUGCAGUAAACAAUGGUAUGCUAGAGCCUGCUCUUAGCAGCUUGCAAUUUUUAGGAAUUUUGUGAGCCAGUUGUCGAACACAACCUUCAUUAAGAAUCAGAUUACAGUCUGGGUAUGGUGGCUCAUGCCUGUAAUCUCAGUUUUGGGAGGCUGAGGCAAGGAGGAUCGCUUGAGCCCAGGAGUUUAAGACCAGUCUAGGCAGCAUAAUGAGAACCCAUCUCUCCAAAAAAAAAAAAUUUGCUGGGUAUGGUGGCACGCACCUGUAGUUCCAGCUAGUCAGGAGGCUGAGGUGGGAGGAUUGCUUGAGUCCAGGAGGUCAAGGUUGCUGUGAGCUAUGAUUGUGCCACUGUACUCCAGCCUGUAAUAAUUUAAUUACAUAAAUUAUAUUAAAACCAAAGAUAAUAUAGACUCCAGACUUAUCACUGCCUAAUUAUUUUACUAUGUCUUCCUAUUAUUUAUGUCCUUGAGGUUUUUUUUUUUUGUGUUGAUUGUAUCUGUAUGGUAGAAAUACUGUAUAAAUGAGCACCUCUUCACAACUCCAUGUUCAGUGACAUCACAAUGGGAGCUCAUAAAUAAGAAAGUAUUUACACCCCAGAAAUCAGCAAACCUGACAAUUGUGUCUUACUUAUUCCCACUCCCUCACAGUUCCCCACCCC
rnacentral:lncRNA from 1 species